rnacentral:rRNA from 1 species
UACGUAAGGCGCAAGCGUUGUCCGGAAUUAUUGGGCGUAAAGAGCUCGUAGGCGGUUUGUCACGUCGGCUGUGAAAACCCGAGGCUCAACCUCGGGCCUGCAGUCGAUACGGGCAAACUAGAGUACUGCAGGGGAGACUGGAAUUCCUGGUGUAGCGGUGAAAUGCGCAGAUAUCAGGAGGAACACCGGUGGCGAAGGCGGGGUCUCUGGGCAGUAA